rnacentral:rRNA from 1 species
AAUGGUUGGACGAGAAAUCAACUUUCUUUAAUAUAUACUUAAAACUUAAUUUUUAAGUUAAAAAGCUUAAAUUUUAUUAAGGGACGAGAAGACCCUAUAGAACUUUAUUAAUUUAUUAGACCACACAAUUUUUUUGUUUACUUGUGUGGUUUAUGUAUAUUAAUUGUGUUGGGGUGACAUAGAAAUUUUAUUAACUUUCUUUUUUUGUGCUCACUGAUUAGUGUAUUUUAAGAUCCAGGUUUAUCUUGAUUAUAAGUUUAAGUUACCUUAGGGAUAACAGCGUAAUUCUUUUGGAGAGUUCUAAUCGAUGAAAGAGUUUGCGACCUCGAUGUUGGAUUAAAAUUAGUAUUAGGAGUAGAAGAUUAAAUACUAGGUCUGUUCGACCUUUAAAUUUUUACA